UUAUCAUGGAAUUCAUGUUGAAUUACUAGUUACACGAAACAGGCUGUUCACUUAGGAUAAAUAUCACUUUGGUUGGAAAGUCUCUUGCAUAAGAUGGAUGAGCCCAGAUGAAAGUUCAGUCCUACGCCUGAAGGAAGACAGUUUCAUUUUAGUUGCCAGAUAAUGAUGUACCCGUGACGUCCAGGAUCAGAAAGUGAGGUAUGUUAAGAUAAGAUUGUGUGCUUGUUUGUAUGCCUUUUUGACCUUGUUUCCUCUAGGUGGCGGUCCAAGGAUCGGAAGUGAAGG